rnacentral:rRNA from 1 species
UACGUAGGGGGCUAGCGUUAUCCGGAAUUACUGGGCGUAAAGGGUGCGUAGGUGGUUUCUUAAGUCAGAGGUGAAAGGCUACGGCUCAACCGUAGUAAGCCUUGGAAACUGGUAGACUUGAGUGCAGGAGAGGAGAGUGGAAUUCCAUGUGUAGCGGUGAAAUGCGUAGAUAUAUGGAGGAACACCGGUGGCGAAAGCGGCUCUCUGGCCUGUAACUGACACUGAGGCUCGAAAGCGUGGGGAGCAAACAGG